AUACGGGGGGUGCAAGCGUUAAUCGGAAUUACUGGGCGUAAAGCGCGCGUAGGCGGUUUGCUCAGUCGGAUGUGAAAGCCCAGGGCUCAACCUUGGAACUGCAUACGAUACUGGCAAAAUAGAGUGUGAGAGGAUAGUGGAAUUUCCGGUGUAGCGGUGAAAUGCGUAGAUAUCGGAAGGAACAUCAGUGGCGAAGGCGACUGUCUGGUUCAACACUGACGCUGAGGUGCGAAAGCGUGGGUAGCAAACAGGAUUAGAAACCCUGGUAGUCC
rnacentral:rRNA from 1 species